rnacentral:lncRNA from 1 species
ACCACGGUCCACCGAUCCGCUAGAGAUUGCUAAGCAGAUCGAUCUCCGAUUCCAAGCCAUUGUAUAAAAAAUCAUAGCAAAAUCCUUUGCUUUAGAAACGAUUAUCAUCACAAUCCUAGACUUCUACCAUUGUUGUUCAUCAUCAUCAUCAUAAAUAAACUCAAACUCUACCAAUCCAUGGCCGAUCUUCUCUGCCAUAAAUAAUUUCUUCCACCCAAUGACCCAC